rnacentral:tRNA from 1 species
GACAUCCUGUUUCAGUUGGUAGAGCACGGUGUUUGCAACACCAGGGUUGUGGGUUCGAUUCCCACGGGGGACC